rnacentral:rRNA from 1 species
GUGUCAGCCGCCGCGGUAAUACGGAGGGCGCAAGCGUUGUUCGGAAUCACUGGGCGUAAAGCGCGUGCAGGCGGCUUGGUAAGUCGGGUGUGAAAUCCCGGAGCUCAACUCCGGAACUGCACCCGAUACUGCCUCGCUAGAGUCCCGGAGAGGAUGGCGGAAUUUCCGGUGUAGAGGUGAAAUUCGUAGAUAUCGGAAGGAACACCAGCGGCGAAGGCGGCCAUCUGGACGGUGACUGACGCUCAGACGCGAAAGCGCGGGGAGCAAACAGGAUUAGAUACCCUCGUAGUCC